UACGGGGGGGGCAAGCGUUGUUCGGAAUUACUGGGCGUAAAGGCUCGUAGGCGGCCAACUAAGUCAGACGUGAAAUCCCUCGGCUUAACCGGGGAACUGCGUCUGAUACUGGAUGGCUUGAGUUUGGGAGAGGGAUGCGGAAUUCCAGGUGUAGCGGUGAAAUGCGUAGAUAUCUGGAGGAACACCGGUGGCGAAGGCGGCAUCCUGGACCAACACUGACGCUGAGUGAGCGAAAGCCAGGGGAGCAAACGGGG
rnacentral:rRNA from 1 species